rnacentral:rRNA from 1 species
AUUGAACGCUGGCGGCAGGCCUAACACAUGCAAGUCGAGCGGAUGAAGGGAGCUUGCUCCUGGAUUCAGCGGCGGACGGGUGAGUAAUGCCUAGGAAUCUGCCUGGUAGUGGGGGAUAACGUCCGGAAACGGGCGCUAAUACCGCAUACGUCCUGAGGGAGAAAGUGGGGGAUCUUCGGACCUCACGCUAUCAGAUGAGCCUAGGUCGGAUUAGCUAGUUGGUGGGGUAAAGGCCUACCAAGGCGACGAUCCGUAACUGGUCUGAGAGGAUGAUCAGUCACACUGGAAGUGAGACACGGUCCAGACUCCUACGGGAGGCAGCAGUGGGGAAUAUUGGACAAUGGGCGAAAGACUGAUCCAGCCAUGCCGCGUGUGUGAAGAAGGUCUUCGGAUUGUAAAGCACUUUAAGUUGGGAGGAAGGGCAGUAAGUUAAUACCUUGCUGUUUUGACGUUACCAACAGAAUAAGCACCGGCUAACUUCGUG